UACAGAGGGGGCAAGCGUUAUUCGGAAUUAUUGGGCGUAAAGGGCGCGUAGGCGGCCUGGCAAGUGGAAGGUGAAAUCCCUCGGCUUAACCGAGGAACUGCCCUCCAAACUGCUUGGCUUGAGUCCGGGAGAGGUGAGCGGAAUUCCCAGUGUAGCGGUGAAAUGCGUAGAUGUUGGGAGGAACACCAGUGGCGAAGGCGGCUCACUGGACCGGAACUGACGCUGAGGCGCGAAAGCGUGGGGAGCAAACGGG
rnacentral:rRNA from 1 species